rnacentral:rRNA from 1 species
AGCAGCCGCGGUAAUUCCAGCUCCAAUAGCGUAUAUUAAAGUUGUUGCAGUUAAAAAGCUCGUAGUUGAAUUUCGGGGUCAGUAAGUUGGUCGUGCCAAUGGUAUGUACUGGCUUUACUGAUUCCUCCUUCUUGAAGAACUGUAAUGCCAUUAAUUUGGUGUUGCAGGGAAUCAGGACUGUUACUUUGAAAAAUUAGAGUGUUUAAAGCAGGCUUACGCCUGAAUACAUUAGCAUGGAAUAAUGAAAUAGGACGUUGAUCUUAUUUUAUUGGUUUCUAGGAUUGACGUAAUGAUUAAUAGGGAUAGUUGGGGGCAUUAGUAUUCAAUUGUCAGAGGUGAAAUUCUUGGAUUUAUUGAAGACUAACUACUGCGAAAGCAUUUGCCAAGGAUGUUUUCAUUAAUCAAGAACGAAAGUUAGGGGAUCGAAGACGAUCAGAUACCGUCGUAGUCUUAACCAUAAACUAUGCCGACUA